rnacentral:misc_RNA from 1 species
CGCUAGUAAUCGCGGAUCAGCAUGCCGCGGUGAAUACGUUCCCGGGCCUUGUACACACCGCCCGUCACACCACGAGAGUUUGCAACACCCGAAGUCGGUGGGGUAACCGCAAGGAGCCAGCCGCCUAAGGUGGGGUAGAUGAUUGGGGUGAAGUCGUAACAAGGUAGCCGUAUCGGAAGGUGCGGCUGGAUCACCUCCUUUCUAAGGAUAUGAGGUCGCUUUUGGUUUUUGUUUAGUUUUGAGAGAUCAUUCUCUCUAUAUGAAAGAAGGCGAUCAUUUUUGAUCUGCCGGUUGUUCUUUGAAAACUGGAUAACGUAAUUGAUAACAAGUAAUUCACUGAGAUUUACGCUUACCAUAGUGAUUUUCUUAGACUUUACAGUCUAAACAAACGAUUGACCAAUUUUGGUUAAGUUAUGAAGGGCGCACGGUGGAUGCCUUGGCACUAGGAGCCGAUGAAGGACGGGACUAACACCGAUAUGCAACGG